rnacentral:snoRNA from 1 species
UUUAGUGAUGAGCUUGACCGCAUAUGAAAAUUGAUGAUUUAAUAAAGGUAGCCUCUGAU